rnacentral:lncRNA from 1 species
CAGACGUAGGCCCGGGGGUUCCCGGCCUGGCCGGGUAGCAGCGCGGGGGCGGCCCUGGGGCGGGGAGACAGGGGGCGGCUCCACUCCGGCGCUCUGCGGAGGACAGCAGCGAUCGCCAAGGCUCACUCUAUGAUCAGAAGAUGGCAUAAGUGGGGCUGGGCACAGUGGCUCAGUGCCCAGCUGGGAUUACGCCUGUAAUACCAGCACUUUGGGAGGCCAAGGUGAGUGGAUCACGAGGUCAGGAGUUGAAGACCAGCCUGGCCAACAUGGAGAAACCCCGUCUCUACUAAAAAUACAAAAAAUUAGCCGGGCGCGGUGGCAGGUGCCUGUAAUCCCAGCUACUCGGGAGGCUGAGGCAGGAGAAUAGCUUGAACUCAGAGGGCGGAGGUUGCAGUGAGCCAAGGUUGCGCCACUGCACUCCAGCCUGGGCGACAGAGUGAGACUCCGUCUCUAAAAAACAAAAAAGAAGAUGGCGUAAUCAGAAGUUGAUAUUCUGUCUAUUGGAUCCUGCUUCUCCCCUGGGGUCUUCUUGGUUCCCUGAAGCCCCUCUUCCGGAGUCCCUGCCCUCUAUCGGCUCUGCCUCCUGCUUCUUUUCUGUAUUGCCAUGAUUUUUGCUAAGGAUAAAGGACAACUUCAUUGGCUUCUUUGGGAAACUUGCAAUCUCCCCAAACAGGCCCCUCUGAGAUUUCUCCUUUCCAUUUGCUUCUGCUCCCCCUUCCUCCUUUUGCCACCUUCGAUAUUUUCUCCAGUUUCCUUGAUUCCUUUGAUACGUCCCCAUUCAGGCCACUCUGGCCCUCCAUCCAACCUGCCAGAACUUUUUCCACUUCAGCACUUCAGUCACUUAAACAUUAGGGCUCCCUGCCCUAAAGGGACUCAAAAUCCUGCAAAAACAACCACCUAAGGAUAAAAAGAGAAAAAAUGAAACUGUUUGGAAACUGGGCAAAUGAAUACUCUUUUAAAAGUCUUUUUCUGGGGGCCAGGUGUGGUGGCUCACGCCUGUAAUCCCAGCACUUUGGGAGGCCGAGGCGGGCAGAUCACAAGGUCAGGAGUUCAAGACCAGCCUGGCCAAUAUGGUGAAACCCCGUCUCUCCUAAUGAUACAAAAAAA